UGGGGAAUUUUGGACAAUGGGCGAAAGCCUGAUCCAGCAAUGCCGCGUGUGUGAAGAAGGCCUUCGGGUUGUAAAGCACUUUUGUCCGGAAAGAAAUCCUUGGCUCUAAUACAGUCGGGGGAUGACGGUACCGGAAGAAUAAGCACCGGCUAACUACGUGCCAGCAGCCGCGGUAAUACGUAGGGUGCAAGCGUUAAUCGGAAUUACUGGGCGUAAAGCGUGCGCAGGCGGUUUGCUAAGACCGAUGUGAAAUCCCCGGGCUCAACCUGGGAACUGCAUUGGUGACUGGCAGGCUAGAGUAUGGCAGAGGGGGGUAGAAUUCCACGUGUAGCAGUGAAAUGCGUAGAGAUGUGGAGGAAUACCGAUGGCGAAGGCAGCCCCCUGGGCCAAAUACUGACGCUCAUGCACGAAAGCGUGGGGAGCAAAACAGGAUUAGAUACCCUGGUAGUCCACGCCCUAAAACGAUGUCAACUAGUUGUUGGGGAUUCAUUUCCUUAGUAACGUAGCUAACGCGUGAAGUUGACCGCCUGGGGAGUACGGUCGCAAGAUUAAAAACUCAAAUGAAUUGACGGGGUCAUAGCUGUUUCCU
rnacentral:rRNA from 1 species